rnacentral:lncRNA from 10 species
GAGUCAAGGUGUCCAGGGAUAGGCAGCCUGAAUCUUGCUCACCGGUACAGCACUCCUAUCUCCCUCCUGGGCAUGUUGUGAGACAAUCCCAUGCAAAAGCCCCAGGUGAGAAGCACUUCCCCAUGAGAGAGAUUGCUGGUAUUAUCCAGGGAGGUGGAUAAUACCACCAAUGAAAUAGCUCAUUCAAAACCAUGGACAAUCAGCAGUCCCUUGCCUGCCUAACAGCAGGGGACUGGACCAACUGACUUCUUGGGGUUCCUUGCAACUCUGAGCCCUGUGGCUGUAUGACCCCACCUUACUCUACCCCAGCACAGCUGCACCUGCAUUCCAUGGGCGAAGACUCAGGACAGGGCCCUACAUUCCUGCCAGGGUAGUGUGUGGGGAGAGGAGUGGAGGUGGGGGCAUUUCCUCUCAACGCUCUGAAUAAGAGCUUAUCCUGCCUCAGGUUGUUCCCCACCAGGAAGCCCCAGGAGGGCCCUGAGGACAGCCCUUGGCCCUCAGAGGGGGAGGCUCAGGAGGGGAGAUGACCAUGGGGAUGGAGUCACUCAGGGGAGAAUCUGGACCAUGAUGGGGUGACUUGGGGGCCUGAGGGGAGGACCCUGAGGAAGAUAAAAAGCUGGUGCCACCCUAGGCAGUUUCACAGUGUGGCUUAGGGCUGUGGGUGACAGACGGUUUGUCAGAUCAGUUAAUCGGGACUCAUGGGCCCUUUGUUACCCUCCCACGGAACACACUGGGUGCAGGUUGGAACGGGAGCUUUCUGGAGAUGCCAGCUUUUAAGCUGAACACGAUUCUACUAGGAGGAUUUCAGGCACCUUGAGCAAGCUGGUAUGGAGUUUAUUUGGGGGAAAAGCAGGGAUUUUAUUACCCUCAAAUGCUUAAAUUACACUUUUCCCAACUAAAUUCAAAUUUUAAUUUAACUAUUGAGCACCUAAAGUGUGCAGAUGAAAAAGACUCAAUUUCCACCCUUUGCUGGCUGGACAUCCUGAAGGGGCGGGAGGGAGGGGCACUACUCAUCACCUCCGGGCAGCCUUCCUGGGGCAGUUCUCCCCUUUCUCGCUGCUUCCCGUCUCAGUGGGUUACCCUCCUGCUCCCCAGUCAGCCCAGUUAGCCCCCGGUGACCCUCAUCUCAGCUGAGUCAUUGACACAGUCCCUGUGUGGAUUUCCACCACCCCAGGCUGUGCCCAGCAUGUCUCCAGGCACAGGGAACAAGGCAGGGACAUGCCUGAGAGACAUAAAGUGCUCUGGGAUAAAAAGCAGGUGAGGCCCUAUCUGGGAGACCCCGGGGGAAAGGCUUGGGGAAGAGAUGAACAGAAGGAAGAGGCUGGGCAGGGGGAUGGCCUGUGGGGUGGCGGGAACGGGGUCGCACAGGCGUGGAGAUGAAAUUCAGUUGGCAAAGCUAGGUCAGGGAAGGCUUCGAAUGCCCUUGGUGAUGCAGGCUAGGGGAAGCCGCUGAGAAUUCUGAGCAGAGAAAUUAACCAUCAGAAAGCUUUAUUUGAGUAAUUCUGAUAUGCCAGGCACUGUGUCGGCAUUUUACAUGUAUUUCCUCCCUCAAUCCUCACAACGCCCUGUAAGAUGGAUAUUGGCAUCCCCAUUUGAUGGCUAAGGCACUGCAACUACCAAGCGACAAAGUGGGGACUUGACCCUCAGUCUUUCUGACCCUGUCCUCACCAGGAGCUGACUUUGUUGUUGUUGUUUGAAACAGGGUCUCACUCUGUCACCAGGGCUGGAGUGCAGUGGCAGUGGCACGAUCUCAGCUUACUACAGCCUCAACCUCCUGGGCUCGAUCCUCCCACCUUAGCCUCCUGAGUAGCUGGGACUACAGGCACACGCCCAGCUAAUUUUUGUAUUUUCUGUAGAUACGAGGUUUCACCAUGUUGCCCAGGCUGCUCUUGAACUUCUAGACUCGAGCGAUCUGCCUGCCUCACUCUCCCAAAGUGUUGGGAUUAUAGGUGUGAGCCACUGCACCUGGCCUCAGGAGCUGACAUUUAGUGAGCACUUCCUGUGGUCCCUUUGCCUUUUACACAUUAUUUCUCUUAAUCAUCAAAACUGCCUUUGCUGGAACUUCUCAGAGGCCACAUAGCCUUCAAAGGCCCUGCCUGCACGUCUAACCACCAUGUGACACAUGCCCAGGAAGUGGCAUCAAUCUUUGCUCCCAUGAAAUGUUCGGCACAUGGCAGGUCACCAGAGCAGGUCAGCUCUGGUCUCCUCCAGCCCUUACUGAUCCUCCCUAUGUGGUAGCCAGCCUCAAGAUGAGGCCCAAGGGUCCCCAUCUCCUGGCACUGACACCUUUGUGUGGUCCCUCCCACAUGGUAUAAGGUGACCUGCAUAACCAACAAGAUAUGGCAGAACUGACAAUGUGUGGCUUCCAAGGAGGUCAUAAAAGGCAUCACGGUAACUGCCUUGCUUGCACUCUGGAUAACUCACUCUGGGGAGACCCAGCCACCAGGUCAUGAGGAGGCCCACACAGCCCUAGGGAGAGGCACACGUGGUGAGAAACUAGGGCCUCUGCCUACAGCCAUGUGAGUCAGCCACCAUGUAAGUGGCUCCUCUAGCCCCCAUCAAGCCUUCAUAUGACUGCAGUCCUGGCCAAGAUCUUAACUGCAAUCUCAGGAGAGAACCCCCAAGCCAGAACCACCUAGCUAAGCAGAUCCCAGAUUUCUGACCUC